rnacentral:rRNA from 1 species
AACGUAGGUUCCGAGCGUUAUCCGGAUUACUGGGCGUAAAGCGCGUUCAGGCGGUUUGGCAAGUCGGGCAUGAAAUCUCUCGGCUCAACCGGGAGAGGUUGUCCGAUACUGCUGGACUUGAGGGCAGUAGAGGGUGGGUGGAAUUCCCGGUGUAGUGGUGAUAUGCGUAGAUAUCGGGAGGAACACCUGUGGCGAAGGCGGCUUCCUGGUCCAGCACCGACGUUCAGGCACGAAAGCGUGGGGAGCAAACAGG